rnacentral:rRNA from 1 species
AGUGAACGCUGGCGGUAGGCCUAACACAUGCAAGUCGAACGGCAGCACAGUAAGAGCUUGCCCUUACGGGUGGCGAGUGGCGGACGGGUGAGGAAUACAUCGGAAUCUACUCUUUCGUGGGGGAUCACGUAGGGAGACUUACGCUAAUACAGCAUACGCCCUACGGGUGAAAGCAGGGGAUCUUCGCACCUUGCGCGGUUGAAUGAGCCGAUGUCGGGUUAGCUAGUUGGGGGGGGAAAGGCCCACCAAGGCGACGAUCCGUAGCUGGUCUGAGAGGAUGGUCGGCGACCUUGGAAGUGGGACACGGACCAUGCUCCUACGGGAGGCACCAGUGGGGAAUAUUGGGCAAUGGGCGCAAGUCUGAUACAACCAGAGCGCGUGGGAGAAGAAGGCCUUCGGGUUGUGAAGCCCUUUUUUGGGGAAAGAAAAGCAGCAGGUUGAGACCCCGCGGGUGUGACGGUAAUCAAAGAAGAAGCACCGGCUAACUUCGUG